UACGGGGGGGGCAAGCGUUGUUCGGAAUUACUGGGCGUAAAGGGUGCGUAGGCGGCUUUCUAAGUUGGAUGUGAAAACUCUGGGCUCAACACAGAGCCUGCAUCCAAAACUGGAGAACUAGGGUUCUGGAGGGGAAAGCGGAAUUCCUGGUGUAGCGGUGAAAUGCGUAGAUAUCAGGAGGAACACCGGUGGCGAAGGCGGCUUUCUGGACAGAUACCGACGCUGAGGCACGAAAGCUAGGGGAGCAAACAGG
rnacentral:rRNA from 1 species